GGCUGGUACAGUUCAAGUGGAAGCAGCGGUUAAAGUCUAUGACAUGGAUGAAUGUGUUGUAGGGGUGCAAGACAUCAAUUCUGCAAACUGCAUAGCGCAUGUCAUCACAAUGCUGAAUGUAGCAACUCCAUUGGUUCGCAUAAAUGAAUGUGUAAGUCUAGAUUCCAAGGAGAUGGAUUCAACACCUGCACAGUUGCCAAAGAAGGGCUGGUCAAAGAGUGGAAAUUCUCCCCCAAAAUGGACGCAAUCAAAGACAAGGUAAAAGCCAGAUUUUCAAAAUCAAAAACACUUUACACAAUCUAAAUACUUCUUUUGAUUGUUUGCAUAGCUAUUAUUAAUUACGAGUUUAUUUUCAGAAUAUUCACUGGAGUCAUAGUAGAACUCAAAGCAAAAUCUUGCGUAUGUUAAACUUAUAACUUUUGACUGUUAAAAAUUCAUCCUGUACCGUUUAAACGCAGCCUUUAAAUGCAGGCAUUUAUCUACCACAUUCAUGCCUUCACCCGGCCUAUACUCAAAGAAUGACACUUCUACUGUUUACAUUUUUGAAAGCUUA